CAGUGAUUGGUCAGACCAUAGUGGUCGGCACCUCUUGUAGCAUCUGUGGCUGCUGUUGACCUUGUUUUUGGAGUAAAACACGGUGGAAGCUGAAUUAGUGAGGAUGACUCCUGCUCCUGUCAUCUCUAAGCUCCUCACACAUCUUUACCUGCACAUGAGGAAAAUCACUCCUGUAGAAUGCAGAUGUUCAGAGGGAGAUGAUGCCACAUCUGGUCCAGCUGAUGGAAGGUCUUGAAGUUCUCUGACUGGCCUCGACUGAAGAUGGUCGUCUCACUGGAUUUAAGGUUCAGAUGCUCAGUAACAAACUCCACCAAUGAGCCAACAGGGAAGCUUUAGGUUUAUUAAAUGUUGCUAUGAAGGUAUCACUGUUUUUCUUUGUGAAUGCAAUGUGCUCCAACUGAAACUUGAAUUAGAACUUAGAAGUAAAUCCUUCCAUCUGAAAGGAUUUAGUUGCAUUAAUAACCUCAUAACAUUCUAAUUUUUAUUCCAGUCUUGGUUGGAAAUAGAAUCUCUGUAUUGAUUCAGGUAAAAACUGAACUUCACAGCAUGUUGGAGCAAAACAACCAGAUGAAAACUGUGAUGGUGUUGGAUUGUCAGACCGUAAUGUUGCAGCUCAAACCAGCUUUUCUAUCGCAGUUCAUUCUGACAUUCAGCUAUGAAUCAACACAGCAGAUGGUGAUCCAUGCUGUGGAAGUCUCACAUCUCCUGAUUUAAUGGAGCUGCUUUGCACUUUUUACACUGUUUAUUCACCAACACUUUAUUUAAUAAAAGUCCCAUCUAGUUUUCAUGAGGAAUGUGAUGUUUUAAUUUCUCUGUGAAUAACUGCAGUCUAAUGUAACAGCUGGAAUUGUAACAUCUGUCUUGAUAUUGAUCAUGAAGUAUUGAUCAGAAUACUUAUGGUUAGCAGUCAUUCCUGAAGUUUUACAUUAAAAUCUUUACUUGUGUUGUGAACUUUGGUAAGAAGCAGAAACGUUAGCGUUGCCAUGGAUACAUGAGUGUUAAAUUCUGUCCAUUUUUCCAUUUUGGGAAAUUCAGUCCAGCAGAUGAGUUUGUUUUUACUGCCAGCUACCAUUCAGUCUGAGAUAUUAAGAAUAAAUAAAUGUGCAUAAUGUGGAAAUGAACAGAUUUUAUUUUUAUUUAUUCCUAUAGCUGCGGCAGGUAAAUUUCCACAAUGUGGAGGAAUUUAGUUUCACAAUCACAGACAAUAAAUAUUAUCUGAAAGUCGGGUUAUUGUUGUUUAUCAGCACAAUACAAAAAGAUUAAUGUUAGAAAUAUUCCAGUUAAGACUCUAGAAUAUCAUGAUUUAUGUAAAUUUACCUCAAUAAUAUAAAUGUUCAGGUUAAGAUUGUACAGUGAUAUUUAUUAUGUAAGUUUAGCUGAUUAAAGUUUAUGACUCUGCACUACAAUAUUAUUAUUUAAAUUUACAUCAUUAUUAUAAUAUUUAGGGUCAGACCCUACAGUAAUGAGAUUAAGAAAUCAAAUAUUCUAUAAAAUGUAAAUACACUGAAGUCAUUUGGAUAUAUUUAAGUGAGACUCUACAAUAUUUUUUGACACAAAUCUAUCUAAAUCAAAAUUUUAAUCAUUUUCACUCCAAACAUUUACUGGACUGAUUUAAAUAUUAAAAUCACUCCUUUCUAAUCCUCUGCUGUAUGUUCAAACCUGAGGCCUUAAAUAGAAACACACAAGUAUCUGAUUGAAGGAACUUCUGCAGAGUCCUGGUUCCAGAACAUAAUAGAAUUAUAGACAAACUUUAACAAAAGCUGCCUGAGAGUUUACAGGUUUUUAUGUUGGAUUUCUUCAGUAAUUUAAUGAGAGUUAUCAGCAAAAAUCAAGUGCUCAUUUGAUUAACUUCAUUUCCUAAAACAUCCAGAAUUGGAGCUCAUAUCUUUGGCAGCUGUAAAGUUUCUGCUCCUUCAAAGUUCACAACACAAUGAAUUAAUUCCUAAAACACUCUCAAUGCUGGAGAGCAUUUGAUGCUGAAGCAGUGACCAGUUUUUCAGUUUCUUCUCUGGAGAUGCACAAUGAGGGACGUCUGCAGAGACUGAGAAAGAGUCUCACCACAUCCUGACAUGAGGAAAAAGACUUUAUUGAAGAUUACAAUGAGAAAAACUAUCAGACAGCAGACGGCUGCAUUCAAGGUGAGCUCUGAACAUUUGAUCUGGAACAGGAAUUCAAUAACGGCAGCAUGAGCUUCAUUUCAGUCUGUAGCUGCUGAAUUCAUGGAUGAAUCAUCUGGCACUAGAGAAGAAGACCAUCAAACAUCCACAUCAGCUGAUGGAGGUCCAAGAGUCUCACCAAACAAACAACCUACAGAGUGAAGACCUCGAACCUGAUUGGACGGCCUCCUAUUCAGCCAAGUGUGAACAAAUGCCUCUAAGCUGAUUUGUUUUCUAAAAUAAAUCUAGUUUGAGUCCUAAUCUAUGCCUGUGUGAUUGCUUCUUUACACCGCUGUUAACAGUUUAGGCUGUUAGAUUGUUCCAGAUAAGACAAGUACAAGAUUCUUCAGAGCCGUUCUACCACGAGCCUGACAGGAAGAACUCCAACAGCUACUGAAUGUUCCUGUGGUCCCCUCAAGGCUACAGGAGGAGCCCUACGAGGACGAGCCGGUCCACCUGAUGGAGGCCAGUCGCUGCGGUUCAAAGCCAACACCGACUAUGUGGACUUCUACUGGACCACACGGAGGCCUUCAAACCGGACCAAGAAGUUCAGCGACUCCCCGACUCGUGGGUCUGAGGAUGCUGCCGAGCCUCGGUCCAGCCGGCCUCCUGUCUGUGGGUGUUUGAGUGCUGAGAGGUUUGUGGAUCCAUGUGAA